rnacentral:rRNA from 1 species
CCUGUGUCUAUUGUUACCU